GUUUAUUUUCUUGCUUUUUGCAACCGCGGGACCGCGUUUCUGCGCUUCAGAUUGCGUUUUUCCGACUCCUUUGUUUGAUAUCGUGUCGUAUCGUCGUAUUUAUGUAGUUAUUAGGAACGGCAAGGCCUACGUUGUUGCGUCCUUUACCUGAAUAUCGUGACCGAAUCGAGUGUCGUCGAUUUGAAUCGUGUCUUGCGAACCAUCGUCGAACAAAAGGUGAUGGCUGGUCGUGGUUCAUCAGCGUUUGUUUUGAAACUGAUGGGUACCACAAGGCAUGAAGGAGGUGACUUGCAGCAGCAAGGCACUGCAAGCCUUCGCAGCAACUGGCUAGCCAGUGCUGCUCUGUUCUGAACUGCACUGCGUGUCAUGCGGAGGUUUUGUGCAAGCUCUCUGGGCGGCGACGCUAGCCACGAUUGGCUUCGUGGAUGCACAGAAAUACUCAAGGCGCUUGACGUCUGUGGCUUAUCUGUAUUGUUUUUCCCGGUACCACGGCAUGAAGGAGCUGGCCUCCCUCCCUUCCAUCAGCUGCGAGAUACUACAAGCACUGGGCUACAGCUGCAGCUAGCCCAUGGGUACCGUUCUGCGUCCUGUACUGCAUCUAGUUCGAAAGGCCAUGUGAAAGGCAGGUGUGGUCUUUAUGGGCUCUGUCACUAUGUGCAUUUUCUGCAGCUUUUUCGGGGCAACUUCAUAUUAAGAUUCAAUACGGACUCGAGUGAGAGGGGGGCAUUCUGAGAAAGCCAGCCUCUUUGUUAAACCAUUGGGACUGGUAUUAUAUCUACAGAGUUUAUUUACACCUUUUGUUAUGUACUUUUUUAUUUAUUUUUAUUUUACUAGUUACUUAUACUUCAAUCUGACACGACAGCCACCAAAAAUGGGGAAAGGACAAAAAUGUUGACAUAUUGGCCUUUUUGUUUUCUGGCAGUUUGUUUGAAGAGCCAAUGUUGGGGGCCGUCAUUCGUGUUAUUUUUCCCACACGCACGUCCAGCCUAUGUUUACGUAA
rnacentral:lncRNA from 1 species